ensembl:lncRNA
CAUAAAAUCUUCAGUCAGAUGGGUGAACAAAACAACGGAGAUGACUAUACACAUACAGGUAGAGGGAAUAGGAAAAGCCUUCACAGUUCAAGGUGUACAGUAGGAGCAGCUGCUGUCCCCACUCCUGGGCAUCACGAUUACUUGGUUUUGUUUUCUCUCUUUCUUCUUUCUGGAAACCUCAUGCAAAGAAGACCAGAGAAGGUGAAUUUUGUAAGACCCCCACGUGGACUCAGGGGUAAGAGCUCCCUGUGCCCCAGAUCGCUGACCGUCUGCAGGGUCCACCUGACUUUGUCAAUGCCUGCCCUGUGCUCUAGGUCUCCAGAAGAUAUUUCUAUUUAGACAUCAGAAGACGAUUAUAUUUAGGCACUAACACCAUUCAAGUGCCCACAAACUUCAGUUAAGACAGAAAAACAAGCUAAUUUGCUGGAACAGAAGGCUGACCUGCAGAUCUGGUGUGGGCUUGUUUCAUUUCUUGGACUAUAUUUUUGUUGUUUUUCUUCACUGCUGUACACCCUCUGCUUGAGCAAUCGCCUGUGUUACUGUGACUUCCCUAACGCCAUCUGCCAUCUCAUGUCCCCUCCCUGGGACGUCCUUCUAAACUCCAGGCUUGCGUCUGCAACUUCCCACUUGACGUCCGUCCUCAAAUCCGUCACCAUCAUCUCAAAGGCACUGUCUCUCAGCUUGAACGUUUGAACUCCGCUGCUGCUUCCCCCAAUUCCCAGCAUUUGCCGCUGCAAUUAGUGGCACAUUUAUUUUCACGGACAUAUUUAGACAAGGUCUAACAGAUCCCAAGCUGGCCCCAAACUGAGAAUGACCUUAAACUCCAGAUUCUCCAGCCACCACCUUCCUACCACUGAGAUUACAGGACAACUCCUGACUCAGUGAUCAUCACUCUCCUGCCUGCAGUGGUCAUCUCUCUCAUGACUGCAGUGGCCAUCACUGUCCUGCCUCCAAUAGUCAUCACUUGCCUGCCUGUGUUGAUCAUCACUGUCCUGACUGCAGUGGUCAUCGCUGUCCUGACUGCAGGGGUCAUCGCUGUCCUGACUGCAGGGGUCAUCACUGUCCUGGCUGCAGUGUCAUUGCUGUCCUGGCUGCAGUGGUCAUUGCUGUCCUGGCUGCAGUGGUCAUUGCUGUCCUGGCUUCAGGGGUCAUCGCUGUCCUGACUGCAGUGAUCAUCACUGUCCUGACUGCAGUGGUCAUUGCUGUCCUGACUGCAGUGGUCAUUGCUGUCCUGACUGCAGUGAUCAUCACUCUCUUGCCUACAGUGGUCAUCGCUGUCCUGACUGCAGUGGCCAUCACUCGCCUGCCUGCGUUGAUCAUCACUCGCCUGCCUGCGUUGAUCAUCACUGUCCUGCCUGCAGUGGUCAUCACUCUCCUGCCUGCAGUGAUCCAGCAUAGAUCCAUCCCUCCUAUACUAGAUCCUGGAAGGGGCAGCUCUGCUUUUCAACAGGUUGCAAUGUCCAGGAACUAUUGUACUCUUAACUACACAGGCUCCUAGGAGGGAAUAUUCAAGGACAAAGCUAGAGGAUCACCUUUAUUGACUCUAGCUAUAAUAUAUUUGACAAUAACUAAAGCAGAAAUGAAAAGAUACAAACAGAGCAUCCAAGGGAACAACUUUCCAUUCCAUAACCCUUGUAACCUGCUAAGGAGCAAACAAUCCAAUGAGGUCAAGAAAUUUCUGUUCUGCUGCACUGACCUCACAUAACCACCUGAUUUAUGAGGGUACUGAGUGUCAACAAAGGUGUACUGUGUCCUGUGCAGUCACCUUGGCUCCCUAUCCAUGUGCAGCUUUCUGUGGCUAAGCAAGCUUCACAUGAAGUCCCUGACAUUGUGAUUUAUGAUCUUGAAUGACAUUACCAUGCCUGGCCCUCAGAAUCCUUCUUUGUGCUCAUGCAUUCAUUACAAAUCUUGCAAAAAUCCCGUGCAUCCUGAUUUCUCAGUUUUAGAACUCUGGGCAUUGAGACUAGAUGAGUCUUUGUUGUCCAAGACUGUUCUGUGCAUUGUAGAAUACUGAGAAGAACCUCUGACCUCUAGCUGCAAGAUGACAAGAACACUUUCCCUGGAUGAAGGAACCAAAAAUUCUCCAGGCAUUGCCAAAAUCCUCUAGUGAAGGGCAGGUUGCUUCUAGUUGACAAUCACUGGUAGACAAUGAUACAUAGUAGAUAAAUAGACAAGUUAAUAGAGCAAUGAUACAUAGGUGACAGAUAGAUGAUAAGUAGAUUAUAGAGAUAAAUAGAUGAUAGAUAGAUAAAUAGAUGAUAGAUAGAUAGAUAGAUAGAUAGAUAGAUAGAUAGAUAGAUAAUGGAUGGAUAGAUAGAUAAAUGAUAGAUGAUAGAUGGAUAUGAUAAAUAGAUAGAUGAUAGAUGAUAGAUAGAUAGAUAGACAGAUAGAUAAUAGAUGGAUAGAUAAAUAGAUGAUAGAUGGAUAGAUAGAUAGAUAGAUAGAUAGAUAGAUAGAUAGAUAGAUAGAUGAUGGAUGGAUAGAUGGAUGGAUGAAUGAAUAAAUAUGAUAGGUAGAUUGAUAUAUGAUAUGUAGAUAACUAAAUAGGUAUCUAUAUAAUAGAUAAAUAGAAAUUAGAUGAUAGAUAAUUGAAAGAUGGAUAUAGAGCAAAUUACAAAAUACUAGAGCACCUUCUAAUGUUCACCUCUAUUAACAAUGACUUCAUGUGUGUGGUAAUCUUAUACAUGUCUGUGUGUGUGCAUAGGCAUGGAAUGCAUGUGUACAUGUUUGCACUUGAAUCUGGAGGCUAGAGGUAGAUGUUGGGUGCAUUUUUCUGUUCACUCUUUGAGGCAGAGUCUCUCGCUGAAGCUAGGACUCGUCGAUUCAGCUGGUCUAGCUGACUAGGAAUCUUCAAGAAUCUGUCUGCAGCCUCCUCACUCCUCAGUGAUCAUAACUGGCAUUUCCACUGAUGCUGGGGAAUCCAAAUUAGAUCCUUCUGCUUGUAUAGUAAUCAUCUUCCUAGCUCCCAAUACACAGUGACUUUUAAAGCAACCCCAGAAAAACUUCCAAAUGUUGCUUGGCUAUACUAACAUUUGCAAGAGAAUAGUGGCACAGAAAGCUUGAAAGCCACUGGGACUAUUGUAGUCUUAAGAACCUGGUUACUCUUGUUCCAACUCCUCUGAGCACUGGCCGUCACAGAGAAAUUAGUCAAGUGGUCCACAACAGCAAAAAAGGAAAGAGGCAGCAGUCAAGUUUACCUGUCUCCUCAGGCCGUGCACCUCACUAGACUCUGGUCCUUACAAUUGACAAGAUCAUUUCUUCAGGUUCACCCGCUUGGUCCCCUUGCUAUGUCAAAAUUACCAUAGACCAACAACUUAACUAAUAGGCUUUUAUUUCUCGGAGUUCUACAGGCUGGAGAUCCCAUGAGGACAGCUGAUCAUGUGCAGAAGGCCAUCCUCCUAGGUGACAGAAGACAGACAUCCAUGGGGGAAUAAGCGUUUGACCUAUAAGCAUAGCACCUGACACAGGCCUGACCCAUAGGAGGGCAUUUUCAUCAAACAGCACUGGUGUUCAAUCUUACUGGUAUAUUACCUAUUUAAAAAUUACCAGCUUAAAAACAAUACCCAGAUCUUGACUGGAGCAUGGUCUGAAGGCAAUUGGUUCCACUGUUGAUUCUAAUAUGAAGUCAAGUUUAAGGACCGUUGGCAUGGAAAGAAGGCAAUAAGAUCUCCUCCCUACAACUCCAGACAGACAUCUCCCUCAGAGUGCUGCCCAGAUGGGAGCUGUGCUCUACUCACCCUGUGUGCAAGCUGGCUGUGGCCCACUCCACCACGUCUACUGUUUCCCAAUCCCUAUUAUCUAUCUAUGCCGUUUGGCCUUUCCUCAAGAGCCGAAGAGCACACUCAGUCCCAGAUCAAAUACAGCUUCCAGACCCUGGAGAUGGGCUGAAAACUUGUACAAAGGUCAAGCAAUGCAGAGAGGGAGGGAAGCAUGAGGUGUCACAGAAGAGGGCAGUAGGAUAAAAGUCUCAAGUCAGAAUAGAGUGGAGAUUGCAAAGUCAGGAUGGAGAGAUGGCUUAGCGUUUAAAUGCCCUUCUUAUAGAAAAGUUAUGUUCAGCUCCCGUCACCCACAUCAGGCAGGUCAUAAUUCCAAGAAUUCAGUGCUCUCUAGCCUCCUUGGACACUUUACACAUAUGGUGUACAUAAACUCCUACAAGCAAUACACAUAAAUUAUAUAUAUAUACAUAUGUGUAUGUAUAUAUAUAUAUGUAUGAAUGUAAACAUAUAUGUAGGUAUGUGUGUACCUACAUAUAUGUAUACACACAUAUAUAUGAAUAUAAACACAUAUAUAUGUGCGCGCACACACACACACACAUCACCUAAUCACAAGGGUUUUGUUGUUAUUUUGAGACAGAAUCUCAUGUAUCCAGGCUGGCCUUGAACUCCUAAUCCUUCUGUUCUCCUCCCAAGAGCUGGAGCUACAGAUGUGCACCGCUACGCCCAGCUUGCAUAGCUGUCGGGCAAUGAAUUCAGGGCUUCUUGCACACUAGGCAAGCAUCCUACCAACUGAGCUACAACUCCAGCCCGGCGAGGUUGUAAUGAGUGUUAACGGCUGCAUCUGUGAGUCUCGCUGAAGCAGACCUUUAAGGAGCAAAAGGAAAAGCGGGGUUUGAGGUAACUUUUCAGAUCCUUGAAGCCUCAGCAGUGGUCAGCUUUCUCCUCCACCUGGGUGCGUCACUGAGGUGACCUCUCUAGAUGUCAGAGCAGAAGGAAGGAAACAGAGGAAGCAAAGGCAGACAAAGCAGAAGGCUGGUUCCCUGGCUUUGAUGCUGCAGUUUCUCUGAGCAGGAGCCAGCACAGGGCCAUAUUGCCUGACUGAAACUUGAGAAACCAGGUCCUGCAGAGAGCUGUCUUUGAGAAUGUCAACAAGUACCUACACAUAGAUAUCUGGAUACUCGUCAAGGGAGAGCUUCUUUUCCUGGUGACUUUUUAUAACAUUGGGGGACUGGAGAGAUGGCUCAGUGGUUAAGAGCACUGCUUGCUCUUCCUAGAGGUCCUGGGAUCAAGUCCCAGCAGCCACAUGGUGGCCCACAACCACCUGUAAUGAGAUCCGAUGCCCGCUUCCUGUGUGUAUGAAGACAGA